UUGGAGGGCAAGUCUGGUGCCAGCAGCCGCGGUAAUUCCAGCUCCAAUAGCGUAUAUUAAAGUUGUUGCAGUUAAAAAGCUCGUAGUUGAAUUUCGGGAUCAGUACGUUGGUCGUGCCUUAGGUACGUACUGGUGUUACUGGUUCCUACCUUCUGACGAACCAUCAUGUCAUUCAUUUGGUGUGGCGGGGAAUCAGGACUGUUACUUUGAAAAAAUUAGAGUGUUUAGAGCAGGCUCGCGCUUGAAUACAUUAGCAUGGAAUAAUGAAAUAGGACGUUGAUCCUAUUUUGUUGGUUUCUAGGAUUGACGUAAUGAUUAAUAGGGAUAGUUGGGGGCAUUAGUAUUCAAUUGUCAGAGGUGAAAUUCUUGGAUUUAUUGAAGACUAACUACUGCGAAAGCAUUUGCCAAGGAUGUUUUCAUUAAUCAAGAACGAAAGUUAGGGGAUCGAAGACGAUCAGAUACCGUCGUAGUCUUAACCAUAAACUAUGCCGACUAGGGAUCGGAUGAUGUUAAUUUUUUAAUGACUCAUUCGGCGCCUUACGGGAAAC
rnacentral:rRNA from 1 species